rnacentral:rRNA from 1 species
GAGCUUGCUCUCUGAGGUUAGCGGCGGACGGGUGAGUAACACGUGGGUAACCUGCCUGUAAGACGGGGAUAACUUCGGGAAACCGAAGCUAAUACCGGAUGAUAAAGAGAAACGCCUGUUUCUUUUUUGAAAGUCGGCCUUGUGCUGACGCUUACAGAUGGGCCCGCGGCGCAUUAGCUAGUUGGUGAGGUAACGGCUCACCAAGGCGACGAUGCGUAGCCGACCUGAGAGGGUGAUCGGCCACACUGGGACUGAGACACGGCCCAGACUCCUACGGGAGGCAGCAGUAGGGAAUCUUCGGCAAUGGACGAAAGUCUGACCGAGCAACGCCGCGUGAGCGAUGAAGGCCUUCGGGUCGUAAAGCUCUGUUGUCAGAGAAGAACAAGUACCGGAGUAACUGCCGGUACCUUGACGGUACCUGACCAGAAAGCCACGGCUAACUACGUGCCAGCAGCCGCGGUAAUACGUAGGUGGCAAGCGUUAUCCGGAAUUAUUGGGCGUAAAGCGCGCGCAGGCGGUUCUUUAAGUCUGAUGUGAAAGCCCACGGCUCAACCGUGGAGGGUCAUUGGAAACUGGGGAACUUGAGUGCAGGAGAGAAAAGUGGAAUUCCACGUGUAGCGGUGAAAUGCGUAGAGAUGUGGAGGAACACCAGUGGCGAA